CAUCUUUUUCAGAGAGCACGGGCGAGCUAUGACGCAGAGGACUGGGAUGCAUAAGUUGGGGUGGAUAUAAUAUCCGUAGCACGGGGCGACAGACUCGAGGAGGUGCCAAGGGGGAACGCGCAUGAAAAUCUCAAGGAUCUACCAAACGCUGGCACCAAGGCGCAAAAUCUGAAGAAUCUAAGAAUCUAGAAGAAACGGUCGCCCGGAAAGAAGACUGUUUAGACAGUUUUAGAUAUGUGCUAUAAACAGACGAACCGUUCACGACCGUCCUGACUGAUGAAGGCCCUAAUUCCCAACGCGACGACUCUUCGUUGGGCCUGGAGAGACGAAACGUGGCUUGGAGCCGCGGACGCGUCAACACGUAUGCCUUGAACCUGGUCGAAAGUGCAAGUGGAUCGGCAUCGUGGCAAGCCGUGGCGAGCGUGGCGUCGGCCGGGGUGAAGAGGGGGAAGGAGAGACCGCGAGAGAGACAUGUACAGUUGCUGCCGACCGAAACGGUUUUUGGUCGCCUUCGACGAAAGUGAAACGGCCUUCGGGAAGGAGCUCAGCGCGUGCAUAUGGACGCCAUUGAACUAGUGACCUUCAUAUGAGAACCGGUCUUUGUUCAGGGCCCUUAGAGUUAGCGACCUAGCUCGCCGCGGGCCCUACCUAGGCCCGCUUCUUCUGUAGACAACGAGUCAUUUACAUGUGGCCGACCCGGCGCGAUUACCCUUCAGCCUGCUCGCGGAUCGAUCGUUCCCGGAUUCGAUUUGAGGAAAAAAAAAGUAGGAUUUCGGUGAAAAUCGAUCGGGAAAAUCGGAGGCCGCCGGAGGGAUGAAAAUUCUGCGCGAAGAGCGAGAACCGUGCGAGGACGUCGGUCGAAUUUAUUACCUACGGCAGUCAGGAUCGAGGAAUCUCAUCGCUUCUUUUUUAUACGGAUCUUUGACUUGCAAAAUGAAAUCUUUAAACUUUGAUAAAGAAGCGAGCGAUAAAUUUCUGCGAGCGAUAAAUGUCUCUGCGUCAUCAAAGUCAGGGUUGAUGUCUGGAAGGUUAUCUAGGAUUUCAAUGUUUUUGGCGAUUUGUAUCGUUAAUGUGCUCGAAACUCAUUCGAUUUUCCUCAGUUACGAUAUCGAUCGCGAUACCAAGUCAUUCCGAAGCCUAUCGAGCGUAUAAAUAUCCUGUGCUGUGCACUGUUGCAAGCAUCUUGCGAGGGGAGUGCCUGCUGCUUUCGCCACGAUUAUCCGCGAUACGUACCCGUUCUAGUCUUGGUAACGAUAAAUCGCGAUCGAAAGUUCCCUUUGCCGCGCGAGUUUAAUGCUCGAGGGAGAGCACGGGGGAUUUAUCCGCGUACCGAGACCCACGAGCGAAAUAGUCGCCAUAAAUCCAUUGCAUCAUUUGUCUUUCUUCAAUCAAUUAAACGGGACUGACGAGAGUCAGUAAAUCUGUAGAGUCAGAGUAAAUCUGUAACGUACGUGCGUGCGUGAAAACAAACGCGCUAUCGCAACGAUUGCCGGCGCGUUGUUGCCACUUUCAGACAUGCAAAAAUUCUAACAUUCGGUCUCGCGAUAUUAAAUAAAAUCAAAAUAAUAUCGAAUUAUGCAUCAAAAUUAAAGAUCACAGAUAAGAGGGAUGUAUCUUUAAUUUGGAGAUAGAUCGAAUCUUAAUUCGCGUUGCGAUAAAAUAUGAUUAGUACGAGGAAAGUAUGCCGUUAAGAAGUUGAUAAGCUUUUUGAGCGACAGGUAGUAAACCAUGACCUGUCGCAAAGCGUCUCACGUGGUUUCUGCGAGGUGUAGCUUAGCAUCGGCGUAGUCGUUAACUGUGCAUCGAUCGUGUGCAAGGUACAAUCGUGCGCGAAUCGCGCGGAUCAUCCGUACCUUCGGCAGUCGCUACUGUUUUAUUCGAGUUGUAGUUCUUUUGCACUUUGCACGAUACGUUGCACCGCUCGCGUGUCACCGAUAAAGAAUGCGAAUUCGUGGACGAAUCGGGCGAUCGAAAUUUAUCUAUCUAAGAACACGCCGCGAUGCGAAUCGACAUAUAAACGACAAAAAAGGAAUAAUUGCUCGGCGCGAUUACGAAAUUGCCGCGCCGUGCAGACGGCGGCGGUAAGCUGUGUCAUAUCACCUGCGAUAAUUUGCGUUAACAUUGAGACCGAGCACGGUCGGUUAGAGGACGGUCGGACUGAUAUCGUAUCUGCACAUGUGAAAGCAUCGUAUCAGUUUGUUUCCUUAACCUCGUAGCCUUCAUCUCUUUUAAGUAACGGAUAUCUCACGAGCGGUGAGACAAGAGCACGGUGCAAGUACGACUUAUUUGCUGUGCCCCGAAUUGAAAAGGUAGCGCGGUGCACGGUGUAGUAGGACCCUUCUGCACGAAUCCCACCGGAAUGAAUAAAUCUGUGCAAAUUUAUUCGACGACAAUCUGCGUAAUCCACGACGGAAUUACAUGAAAUUGUAUAUACAAACAGAUAAUCUCAUAGAAAUUUACCUCCGCAAGAUAGUAUUGUAAUAAAGUGCUAGCGUCUGCAGCGUGCCUGGCCGCGAACUUGGUUAAUUUGAUACUCUUAUCUUAUUCAAUAUCGGGUGUGUGUGUGUGUGUGUGUAUGUAUAUAUGUGUAUAUAUAUAUAUAUAUAUAUAUGUGCGUGUGUGUGCGCGCGCACGCGCGUGUGUAUGUAUGUACGUGUGAGCACUUUGUCUAUUUACGAUUCUUAUCAGUCUAAUACAAAAUAUUACAAAUAUACUAUUGUGAACGAAGACACACGUGACAUAUCACCGACUUUUAAUUACUAUCUCAAUAUGAUUCUCGUUAAUAGUUUACGAAUUUCGAGUUUACGAUCAGUCUUGGUUUUGCGGAGUUUAUGUUGGCGACCUACCACAAAAUGACGCUUGUAGCGUUAACAGAAAUUUGUAUUUCCAAAUCACUAUACGAUACCAUAGUAUCGCAUUCUUGCGACUUUGACAUUGAACCUCUUAUCAAGGAGUUGGUUGGUAUUAUACCCCGCGAAAACAACGAAGCGAAUAUCUGGUUUAGCGGAAUCCAGAAAAGAUAAUCUGGCGGAAAUACACAGUUGAAAAAAAUCCGAACUUCCAAAUUCAUUUCAAAGUGCGAUUGAGUCUCUUUUUGAUACUGCGAUACUUUUUUACGAGACAUGUGAGAAUGUUAAUGAGGAAAAAAUGUUAUUGUUGAUAUUCCAUACUAACUGCAUUCCCGUCAAACUAUAUUUCGAAUCAAAAUUUUAACUCUUUGUUACUUUACAGAUCCUACCUAGCUUGAAAGACUAUUAAAGAAUCUUGAAAUAUAAUAUUGUAUAAAUUACCUUGAUGCUGCAAAUAAUUAAGUACCACCGAAUUUUUUCAUAUAGAAUUAUCUUUUAAAAAAGAAUUUAUAUUUUACUGUUAUUUUACUAUUAUUUAAUGUUAUUUUAAUAUUCUAUCUGUACUUAAUGUUUAUUCUCAAUUUUAAUAAGCGAGAUAUAUUAAUUAUGCAAUCUACAUAACUGUAAGUAGAAUAUGCAAAAUAAGUAAAUAUUAAAUAAUUAACAUGCAUAAAUAAUGAGAUUAAUUUUAUUAUUUUUCUUUUUGCAGUUGAAAACUCUGACUUGAAGAUUUAAAAAGAGAAGGAAAGAUUUAAAAAUGAGAAGGAAAGAAUUGCGUGUCCAAUAAUGCUGCGCACCAACAGAGACUUAAAUUUGGUAUCGGUGAAAUAACAAGAUUAAACAAAAGUGAAAAAGACAGUUUCAAGUAACAAUAUCAAGUCGAGAAAUCCCGCGACCCAGCAUUAUUAGACACUUGCGAGAUUUACAAUAGGUCCUUAGGCCGACAGUUGCUAAUUUCUUAUACGAUUUUUAAUCGAAAGAAUAAUUAAUUACACAUUCGUAUUCAUUCCUCCCCUCCAUCACUAACUCUGCUUGAUCAAUAUUUCCUGUUGUAUAAAAUAUGUGCUAGCAUAGACUGAUGAAAAAUCACCACUUCAUAAAACUCUAAUCGUCAGACUACAAUUUAUUAAAUGAUAACAAAUCACGAAUACCGACCUAAAUUUCGACUCACAAUUAUCUCCUUAUUCGCGAUACAUAAAUGCGUUAAACGUCAUAAAUGAAAUCGUAAACGCCCAUAUAUUGAACGACGAUUAACUCACCUGGAAACACAUGAUAUAUCGCUGCCCGGCGUUCUGGUUGUCCGAUUGAGAAACUCGGCUCCUGGUGAAGUUCACGGACUCUCGACGCACUUACACUCGCGCAGAUACAACGAUUCGGUCGGAGAAACGAGUAUUGAAUAACGCGAUGCCGACAAGCACGGUGAAAUAGUUUUCGAACUGAUGGAAUUAUUAUAACUAACGCGCUCCGAGACAUGUGCUACGCGCGUCGCUCGCCGAUGCGCAACACAAUGAGACACGCGGAAGCGUACGCGACAUACGUAGGUAAGUUUAACCGCCGCGAAGGUCCUUAAUGUUUGGAUCACUCGGCCGGAGGCGAACGGCCACGCUGGCUGAUUGAUGCCGGAUGACGUAGCACUUUUUUGCCCAUUGUUUUGGUUCUCUCGCGCAUCGCGUGCUUUUCCGUGUACAGGUAUUUACAU